AUUGAACGCUGGCGGCAGGCCUAACACAUGCAAGUCGAGCGAGCGGCGGACGGGUGAGUAAUGUAUGGGGACCUGACCGAUAGAGGGGGAUAACUACUGGAAACGGUGGCUAAUACCGCAUACCAUCGGUUGUACCCACAUGGGAUUAGCUAGUAGGUGUGGUAAAGGCUCACCGAGGCGACGAUCUCUAGCUGGUCUGAGAGGAUGAGCAGCCACCGUGGAACUGAUAAACGGCCCAGACUCGUACGGGAGGCAUCAGUGGGGAAUAUUGCACAAUGGGCGCAAGCCUGAUGCAGCUAUGCCGCGUGUAUGAAGAAGGCCUUAGGGUUGUAAAGUACUGUCAGCGGGGAGGCGUUACCCGCAGAAGAAGCACCGGGUAACUCCGUGCCAGCAGCCGCGGUAAUUC
rnacentral:rRNA from 1 species